rnacentral:rRNA from 1 species
CGCUGGCGGCGUGCCUAAUACAUGCAAGUCGAGCGAACAGACGAGGAGCUUGCUCCUCUGACGUUAGCGGCGGACGGGUGAGUAACACGUGGAUAACCUACCUAUAAGACUGGGAUAACUUCGGGAAACCGGAGCUAAUACCGGAUAAUAUAUUGAACCGCAUGGUUCAAUAGUGAAAGACGGUUUUGCUGUCACUUAUAGAUGGAUCCGCGCCGCAUUAGCUAGUUGGUAAGGUAACGGCUUACCAAGGCAACGAUGCGUAGCCGACCUGAGAGGGUGAUCGGCCACACUGGAACUGAGACACGGUCCAGACUCCUACGGGAGGCAGCAGUAGGGAAUCUUCCGCAAAGGGCGAAAGCUUGACGGAGCAACGCCGCGUGAGUGAUGAAGGUCUUCGGAUCGUAAAACUCUGUUAUUAGGGAAGAACAAAUGUGUAAGUAACUAUGCACGUCUUGACGGUACCUAAUCAGAAAGCCACGGCUAACUACGUG